CUCACCUUUUUUUUCUUCACAAUAUAAUGCAGACUUCAGAACUAGAAACUCACAGAAAAUAUGUGUGGAUGGGGAAGAGAGAUCUGGAUAUCUUCUGCAGCUUUUGGCUGAGUGGUAGAAGUGCCUGUGGUAGAGAAGAAGUGACCUGUUUCAUAAUAAAAGAAACGAGAGGAAAGAGUAGUAUUGAAAUGCAGCGUCUUUGGAAGGAAUGGCAGGAGACCUGGGUCGUAAUUCUAGCACUGGCUGAUGUCAAUAAUCAGAUAUCAUUCCAGUCUGAAGAGAGUGCAUGGAGAUAUGAGGCCUUGAAAACCAUAUUAGUGUGCUCUUCUCUCUCCUCAUAAGCUAUGGCUACAUGUGAGCAACUUUCCAAGGAUAGAUAUUUUUCCCAGGUUAAGUACUCUGUUUGUGAAGCAAGGGCUGUUCUUCACUGUCUCUCGGCUUUUCUUGAGUACCAGAAUGAAUUGGCCAGCCAAUAAAAUUUAUCUAUUGAUAAUCUAUGAUAUCUAU
rnacentral:lncRNA from 1 species